CUCCACCACCUCCUCGGGCAGCCCAUUGCAGUGCCCGGCCACUCUUUUAGAGCAGUAUUUCAAAGCAUCCAGCCUAAAUCUCCCCUGGGGCAGUGUGAAGUCAUUCCCUUUCAUCCUAUCACCGUUACACAACAAAUCGCUGCUGUGAAGCACAGCAGCAUUGCACCGCUGCCUCACAAAUGCAAACCCGCUCCUUCCUCACACCGGAACCACAGCCAGCGCCGCCUCCCCGCCUCCAGGACCGGCUCCUUUCCGUCUGCGGUGACGGAAGUUCACCCCACGCCGUUCAGCCCUCGGUUCUCCCCGCUCCGAACCACGUCGCAUCGCCUCACCGAACACCGCAGCGGCCGCGGGGCGGACGGUGAAGGUCGCACAGCCGCUCAAGCUGCGGCCUUUACACCGGGCCGGGCGCUGGAGGCCUCACAACCCACAACCGGGUGCCCGGGGACCCGCCGUGCGGCCCCCAAACGCACCCAACACCACCCGGCUCCAACCACGAGGUCCGAGGUUACAGCACCAGCCCCGCUCCCCCCCUCCUUUCUCCCCCCGGCCGCCCCAGGAGCCCCGCGGAGCGCCCAACCUCCGCGCCGGCGGAAGGCCGAGUCAGCACGGAGAGACCGGAAGUCAGAAGGGGAAAGAGCGGAAGUCAGCAGGGGGAAAGCGGAAGUCGGUUGGGGAAAGAGCGGAAGUCGGCAAGAGAAAAGUAGGAGUCGGCGGGGAGAGACCGGAAGUCAGCUCAAAAGGAUCGGAAGUCAGUUCAAAAGGACCGGAAGUCAGUUCAAAAGGAACGGAAGUCUGAGCGGAUUGACCGGAAGUGCGCUGCAGACGGCAACGCAUCGCCGGAAGUGCUGUAAGAAGGGGGGGAGAGAGAGAGAGAGAGAGAGCAGAGUCAGAGAACCACAGAAUGGUUUGGGUUGGAAGGGACCUCAAGGAUCAUGGAGUUCCAACCCCACGCCGCACACAAAGCCACCAACCUCCACGUUUCACAGCAGCCCAGGCUGCCCAGGGCCCCAUCCAACCUGGCCCUGA
rnacentral:lncRNA from 1 species